rnacentral:rRNA from 1 species
UAAUACGUAGGUGGCAAGCGUUGUCCGGAUUUAUUGGGUUUAAAGGGUGCGUAGGCGGUUGAUUAAGUCAGUUGUGAAAUACGGCAGCUUAACUGUCGAGGUGCAAUUGAUACUGGUUGACUUGAGUACAGACGAGGUAGGCGGAAUUGACGGUGUAGCGGUGAAAUGCAUAGAUAUCGUCAAGAACACCGAUAGCGAAGGCAGCUUACUAGACUGUAACUGACGCUGAGGCACGAAAGUGUGGGGAUCAAACAGGAUUAGAUACCCUGGUAGUCCACACUGUAAACGAUGAUUACUCGAUGUUGGCGAUACACAGCCAGCGUCUUAGCAAAAGCGAUAAGUAAUCCACCUGGGGAGUACGCCGGCAACGGUG